ACGCUAAGUCCCGCCUUCAUGGACUGCUCUUAAAAAUGAAAUCUCCUUAGUUCAACAGUGUCUAAAACAUAUAAAUACUCCCCUUGCAGUCAAAUUGUAUAAUCUGAUUACAACUGUUAAUUUAUCCUGAACCCCUUGUAUUGGUUAACAUAAUCUCCCUUCCUCACUCAUUAGUUAGUUAUUUAUUUGUUUUUCAUUCAUUUGAUUAUUUAUCCCUCAUUCAUUAUAUUUGUUAUUAUUUUCUUUUAUUUUUUCCUCUAUGAAAUCUUAAUUUAAUAGAAGGUGUGAAUGUUUUCAAUUUUUGAUGUACUUAUGUAUACAUUUGAGUUUGUUGUGUUCUUGUUAAAUAAAGAAAGAAAAAAAAUAAAAAUUUUGCUACAACAAAAAACAUCUGCCUAUGGAGUGCAGCCUGUUUGAGGAGCAAAGAACACAGCUAUAUGCCAAGUUGUCACACGAGGGAAAGAAAUCAAUUACAAUGAGGAGUCCCCUUAAUCCGAGAGAGGACCAGGCGAGGACGGUGAACGCAAUCCUUCAUUUUGUUAAUUCCACAGGAUUACAUCUUUGGAAGUAGGAAUGGUCUGAAUUCUGCAUUCUCACCCUGACCUGUGAGUGGCAGCAAUGUGCCGCAAGGCAUCCAGCCUGCCGAAAAUUUACAAGAAGAAGAAGAAGAAGAAGUAGUAGACAUGCAUGCGCACUCACGUACUGCUGAAUGAUAGCAGGCAGCCGGGCCGCAUACCCAUAGAUACCGGUGGAAGAGCGGCGUACCACCACCCGAUCUUUUCGUGGUACUGCGUUCCGCGACCAGAUCUUUUGCCGGAACGAAGUACGGGACCGUUCCGGCUUACUUUCACCCCUGCUUUUAACUGGAAGAUGUGUAUUUUCGCCAUCUAACGUUGGAGCGUCAAGUUGCUGCUGCGCUGAGCGCAUCCGCGGAUCUCGAUGUCUGUUUAUAUGCUCCUGCCACCAAUCACAGCCCUCUGUGAUGACCCUCCUGCCCAUAGCAGUUUUCUCCAACCCCAUCCGUCUCAUGACACAUUUCCCAUCCCCAACCGUCCAGUUUCCCCAUCCAGCGGGCCCUACAGCAGAUGUCCCCAUCCAGCCAGUUCCUGUCACCAAUCACAGCCCCACAGACGUUUUCCCCAACCGUCCAGUUUUCCCCAUCCAUCCAGCUGACUCUCUCUCUCUCUCUCUCUCUCUCUCACACACACACACACACACACACACACACACACACACACACACACACACACACACACACACACACACACACACACAGGCUGGGCUCCUGCGGGAUGGAACCGCUGUCAGCACUCUGAUAGAUGGCCACACACCGGUGAAUUCCCCCAGGAGCACCUGGCCUCACUGCAGGCACAGACUGAGAGACAGCAGCAACACACACACUGAUACUUAACAGUGCAGCACGCUUAUUGUGAAAUGUUUUGACACAAUAGAACACUGUGUUGUUUUACUCAAUGUAAUGCACUUUUGUUAUCGUUUCUCGCUCAAUGCAAUGCAUGUGUGUUUGUUGUUAAAAAAAAAAAACACUAUUCACAAAAGCUUACAUAGUGCAUUUUUGCGUGUGAGCAAUCGUUCAUACCAGUGUUGUUAUUGUUAAUUGUUUGUAGGUUAGGAUCACUGUUGAACUGUAGAGUGUCUGUGCAAGUUAAAACUUGCAAGUGAUCCAUAUAAACUACUCUGAGUCUGAAUUAUCUGUUUAUGUCAAGAUGAUAUCACAAGAUGUUAAUUAAAUCCACAAGAGAUGGAAUACCUUUGGGAAGACAUUUGGGUUUCAGAUAAAAAGAUGAAUAUGACACAAAAGUUCAGAAUGCCAGCUUUUAUUUCAUGGUUUUUACAUCAAGAGGUGUUAAACAACCCAGGCAAGAUGACCUUUUCUUUGAGCCCACCCACUUUUCAAGUGAAUAAAAGUAGUGGAACAUUUGACUGAUGGCUGUUUCUAGUUUCCCAGGUGUUGCUUUUUAGAUCGAUUGCAGAGACAUUAAAUAGUUCUUGUUUUUGGCUUUGGGUUUCACCUGUGAAAACUGCCUUUUCUGUUAAACAAACAUGAAGACCAGAGAGCUGUCUAUGGGAGAAAAGCAAACCAUUUUGAAGCUGAGAGAAGAGGGAAAAUCGAUCAGAGCUAUUGCACAAACAUUGGGCAUAGCCACUACAACAAUUUGGAAUUCUGAACUUUUGUGUCAUAUUCAUCUUUUUAUCUGAAACCCAAAAGAGAACUAUCAGUAACAUACCUCUGUAUAAAACUUAAACUACCAUUUGGAUAAAUCUUUGGAGUGUUGCCUACUUGCAAUUACAAGGUCUGUUGUGGUGUGAAGGGGCCAAAAGAUUUUUUUUUUAAAAAGACACAAAAGAGAACUAAAUAAUCUCAUAUAUGUGUAUAUAUAUAUAUAUAUAUAUAUAUAUGUAUGCAUCCAUGACCUUUUAUACCACCGUUUUACAAGCAUCUACUUUGUUUCUGUUGGCUGAGCAGAAGUCUAUGUUAGUUUAAAUAGGCUUAAUUAUUUAACAGGACAUGAUAUGGAUGCAGACAUUUAGGCUGUGUGGAUAAAACAACUGCACAGUCAAACAGCCACUUAAUAUUUAGGCUACUUUACAAUGUAAAACAUGACCAACAUGAAGUACCUCCAUGAGAUAAUGCCGAGGUCUGACCUGUUUGAACAAUGUUUUUAUAUUUCAUCUUAAGCUGCUGCCCCGUCGGGAUUUCGCCUCAAUGAAAUAACUUACUAGGCUGCCAUUCAGACAGUUAUUCCCAGUAAUAUUAUUACGAUUACAAAAGACUACAUUUAAACUUACGCAUUGAUCCGGGCAGCAGUGUUCUCCACGCCGUCUCUCUCUCUUUUGCAGCUGCAGCGGUGUUGCACUUCUUUCUAAAAACGUGAUCAAACUCACCAUAUGAGCGCGUUAAAAACUUCCAUUUCAAAAACGCAGCCUUUCGCUUCCCCGUUUCCAUGGUGACUCGUCGAAUCGGGGUUCCAUUGAUGCUGUCUUUUCACAGUUGCGGUGCACGCGCGUAACUCCGGGUCAAACUACUCCGAGUUGAUUAAACCAACUCAUAUCAGCCGUUGUGAAACCGAAAACUCAGUUUUCUAUCUCAGAGUACAUCAACUCAGAGUUGCGGAAGAAACUCAGAGUUUCUUGAACCUGCUUCGUGAAACAGGCCCCUGGUCACCCUCCAUAGAGGAGUGGUCUGACCAUGUGUUUCCUUUUAUUCAGUUCUUUUGUCUCUUUUUUACUAUUCCUGGAGAAGUCAAACAGAAGUCAAUUCAUGUUUGUUUUAAUCUUCCAGUUAUCUCCAUUCAAUGUUUAUCAUUCAAAAAUAAUAGUUGACUUUUAUUUCCCUUUUUUGCUUCAUAUUUCAUGACUUUUCCUGAUUUGAUGGGACAACUUAUUAAGCAUGAAAUUAUCAUGGUGAUAUUUUUUCAGUGUGCUGAACACGUAUUGCAGCGUUGGUGUUCCUCUGGGGGCAAUCUGAGCCCAAACUAUUUAAAAUUGUCUCUGUGAGACCGAACAUCUCCACAAAGCAGAGUUCACACUUUUCAGUUGAUCCAGAACAGGAGUGAGGAAAACAACUAUUCUCACCUGGGGCCUCAUUUAUAAAGCUUGCGUACGCACAAAACAGGGCAAAGGUCCAGUUUACGCAAAGGUUGUGAUUUAUAAAAACAAACUUGGCGUGAGAAUGUGCGCACGGUGCGCCAACCUUGAUUCUUGAUGCUACUUUACGCACAAAACAGGGCGUAAAUCACAAACUUUGCGUAGAAAGUGACGUACGCUGUGUACGUUGUGAUUUCUAAAAACAAACUUGACGUGAGAAUGUGCGCACCUGUGCGCCAACUUUGAUGCUUGCUUAAGCACAUUUUGGAGACAGAGGGAACGGCAGUGCCGGAGGAUGAAGUGGCGAAUUGAAACCAGACUGAUCUCAAACCUUUAUUGUUAUCACAUAUUAGACUUGUAGAGCCGGAUAAUCAUAAACCCUCAUUGUAGUAGAUGUUCCUAUAGUGCGCCAUUCGGCCGACGACUGUAUUUGCAGAACUAUGUUCAUAUAUUAACAGGAGCGGAUUGAACGUUAUUUCAUUCGGUCGUUUGACCGAAGGGCCGGUAUCUGGGGCCGGUGCGGUGAUCUUUAUUAAAUAAUUUUGUUUACUAAUCACCCGGCGCCUGUAUGGCUCAUCCAUUUGUAGGGGUGGUCUCCGACGCAGUGGGUCGGGUUCGAUUCCUGCCCGCGGCACUUUUAUGCAUGUCUUCCUACUCUUCUCCCCAUUUCCUGUCACUCUUCACUGCAACUAUCACAGUAAAAAGGCAAAAAAAAAAAGUAAAGAAUUUUGUUUAUUUAUCCGCAUGCGGCCGAAUGGGAUGAGCGUCCAAACAUUAAUCAGCCCUGUACAGGCACACAGGCACACAUGCUUCACACCACAACUCCCGAGUGAAGAUGAAUUUCUCUAUGUGAACCGAAAAAAUGCACAUUCAAUCAGUGUGCAAAUUAUUUGUACAUCGGACAUGAUCAUAACAAAUUUAGUGGCAGGGUGGCCUGGGUCACACAUGAUUCAUUCAUUCUGACGCACAGCAGUGAAAAGACUGCCGGUGUCGUGCCAAAGUAGUUACCCCCGACAGAAAAUGUAUCCCCUGCCGCGGGAGCGCAUGCAUUCGGAAGGGUGGAGUUAUAAUUCCGUGUUUAGAUAUCAGCGUAGUUUAUUAAUAAAACAAAACUUGGAUUGUUACGAUCAUGAUUUGAUUGUCAAACAUGUUUGGUAAUGCAGCACGUGACAUUUCUGUCUAAAUAAAUGCUUUUGCUAUA